GUGCCAGCCGCCGCGGUAAUACCGGCAGCUCAAGUGAUGUCCCAUAUUAUUGGGCCUAAAGCGUCCGUAGCUGGCCGACCAAGUCUCCCGGGAAAUCCACCCGCCCAACGGGUGGGCGUCCGGUAGAAACUGGCCGGCUUGGAACCGGAAGGCUCAGAGGGUACGUCCGGGGUAGGAGUGAAAUCCUGUAAUCCUGGACGGACCGCCGGUGGCGAAAGCACUUCGAGAAAACGGAUCCGACAGUGAGGGACGAAAGCCAGGGUCUCCAACCGGAUUAGAUACCCGGGUAGUCC
rnacentral:rRNA from 1 species